rnacentral:tmRNA from 1 species
GGGGCUGACUUGGAUUUCGACAGAUUUCUUGUCGCACAGAUAGCAUGCCAAGCGCUGCUUGUAAAACAGCAACAAAAAUAACUGUAAACAACGCAGAUUACGCUCCAGCUUACGCUAAAGCUGCGUGAGUUAAUCUCCUUUUGGAGCUGGACUGAUUAGAAUUUCUAGCGUUUUAAUCACUCCAUAACCUUAAGCUAGACGCUUUUAAAAGGUGGUUCGCCUUUUAAACUAAGAAACAAGAACUCUUGAAACUAUCUUAAGGUUUUAGAAAGUUGGACCAGAGCUAGUUUUAAGGCUAAAAAACUAACCAAUUUUCUAAGCAUUGUAGAAGUUUGUGUUUAGGACAAGAUUUUUGGACUGGGGUUCGAUUCCCCACAGCUCCACCA